GGAACCGGAAGCCGCGCUCAGACCGGAAGUCACGUGGCCAGCGUGACUUUGGCGUGAGGUAGGAGAAGGGCGGAUGGCUGGGUAGGGAGCUUUUGCCUCGCGAGGUAGGAGCCGGGAUGAGAGGGAGGUUUUUAGGCCCAGAGAAGGGGCGCUGUGGUGUGGUCUGAGGGUCUCCCGGGAAGGCGGGAAAUAUGCGGAGAGGCAGAGGCAGCGCUGCCUCUGUGACGACGCUGACGCGUUCUCUCACAACCGCGGAGCCCGGAGGUGGUUCCCUCGAGGGAAGCGGUAGGCGCCCCCGUAGAGGCCUUGGCUGUGGAGCGACACCUGAGGAAGUGUGUUCACCAGCCUCCUGCUCCCGCUGCCGCUGCCGGAGGGAGAGAGAUUCAGGGCCCUGCGUGCAUGCGACGUGCCUCCUCCCUGGGGGCUCGGCGGAGCCACCGACGAUGACGUCAACACCCAGAACCCAGGGUCUGCAGCCACAUAAUCUAAUGUUGGCCUGAAAAAAUAUUUGUCUGCAGAAACACUCGCAUGAGGUGUUGGGAAGACCAGCUCCAGGACACUGAGGUGGAGCCCCUACGGUAGCCCCCAGCCAGAUCCCCUCAAAUCAGGCCCUGACCUAUUUAUUCUAAAUCCUCUUCACCCUUUGUAACAAGUGGUAUCUAGAGCGUCUCCUGAUCGUAUCUUCUUUAUCUGCCAGCAAUAGUUUUCUCGACAAAUUUAGGUGAGAUGGUGGGUGUAGGUGAGGGGUGAAGGGCCACAAAGGUCUUCAAUGAUCAUGACUGUUUCAAGGUCAGGGAGGUGGUAGAAACACAGGGAGGCAGGUUGGGGAUUCUCCAACCCCGACAGAUGAAGACACACACAGAGGCAUGCAAGUCAGCAAAGAAAUGUAGGCUGGAUUCCCAGAGAGAGACAAC
rnacentral:lncRNA from 1 species